rnacentral:lncRNA from 1 species
CCACGCUGGCGGAUAAACUACACGUUCCUGAUCAAAAUGGCGUUGCUGUGUGUUGGAAGAAGAAAGGCAGCUCAACAGAUGAGGAUUUCCCAAGGAAAGAGCACUUCGAAAAAAGGGGCUUAUACGAGUCCGACGUAAUGACCCCAUAUCCAAGAAACUAUGGCAGACGAAAUGCACCUACCUUUGCUCCAAUCGUCUCAAACGAGAAUGUUUCUUCUAUGGAGAGAGGAUGAGGAAAUUAAAGCGAGGGGCAGAGCCGACACUGUUUCCGUUGAAUGAAAAAACAAACAUGGUUUCGGCAAAAAGGAGCGCAUUAACUUCCAUUGUGGCUGAUGCCCAACUACCCACAGCGACACCCACGCCUCAGCAACUAAACAAGAAUAUCCAGCAGGACUGGAUGGCAAGCAACCUCCAUUUACCAAAAGCCACUACUUGUGAACUUCACAGAACCGACUGGGUGUAGCCAGAAUUUCAGUCAUCUGUCACCCCUACAGAUACUUCAACUCUUCUUCUGUGAAGCAGUUUGGCAGUUGCUGGUGAAGGAGACCAACCGCUAUGCAGAUCAGACGCUAUCUGCAGAAUCCGCCAACACUCGGUGUACUUGGGUGGAAGUGACUAAGCAUCACAAAUGUGUCAGUACUUUACGCAUCAUCAUAGAUCCCCGAAAUGGUGGAAAUAAGUUUUCUUUGCAAUUCUUGACAUCUGUUUGGUUAAUUUUGCUAUCAUCGUUUACAGCAAUAGACUCGGGUAGUUUAGAUUGUGCCUGCCCCCUUCAACCACCCCCAAUUCCACCCCCCCCCAUUCCAAUGUUGCAAUGGAUCGCUCUGGCCACGCACCAGCCUUUAACACAAUGCAGGUUCCCGUCACACCCCCAUUCCUCCCUUCAACAACCCCCAAUACCCCCCCCCCCAUUCCAAUGUUGCAAUGGAUCGCUCUGGUUUCGCACCAGCCUUUAACGCAACAUUGGAUGGGGGGCGGGGGCAUCAAGUAGCUCCCAGAAAUCAUUUAGAGGUCUGGAAAGUCCAUUUUAGCAGCAGAGUAUAAGAUGUAUCAAUGUAAACUCAAUUUUUUAGACCAGUCUCAGAGGUUUUGUAUUCAGGGUGUGAAAUGAACUUUGUGUUCUAUUCAUACAACCCUAUGCUUAUUCAACAGCCUCAUGCUAUUUUCUUUUCUCAUUUGCAUAUGGAAUGUUUUUCUUUAUCUUAUAAGCUCUAAUCUCUCUGAAUUAAGUACAAGUAUGUAUUAGAAGUUAUUUAUGUCCACAUUGAUAAUUUCAAUGUACUAAGUUUCUUAAAUUUCUGAUAUAUCGUCGCUUAUCCAUUUUGUCAAUUUCUAUGUAUCAAGCGCCCUUAAUUAUCAUUGUAAAUUUUUGUUAAGAGUACGGAAUAAGCGUUUUCUUGAAUCUUGAUUUAUUGUGUAUGGAACUCAUUCCCGUGAUUUUUACUAGAAAAACUUAAGUGGUGUUCUGCUUAUUGGAUAUCAUUACUAUUAGUCAAUGGAGAGUCAUUGCAAGAGUGGUCUUUCAUGAUCUCGACUGGUGAGGGCGCUAUGCACUAAAAGUCGCUGAAUUUUGCCUGGUAAGCAAGGGAACUCGCAUGGGAAAAAAAGUGUAGUAUUAAAGGAACCCAUGAAUGACCAGAAAGGUCUUGGGGCUGAUAGGGAUAUUAUCUUGUUUAAAAAACGCAGAGAAAAAAGGGGUAUGAAAAGUUGGGAAAACGGUCCAUUUGUUCCCGAUGGACAAUAUUUAUUUCUGAUAAGAUAAAACAGAAUUACUGAUAAAUGUAAUUACUGAUAAAUGCUUGCACACUGUACACGCAGCGCAUAGGCCUAUAACCCCCCCCCCCGAAGCGCAGAGCUAGGAGAAAUUGGGAUUUUACUUUAACAAC